rnacentral:rRNA from 1 species
UACCUACGGGAGGCAGCAGUGGGGGCUCUUGCACCCUGGGGGGCACCCUGCUGCAGCGACGCCGCGUGGGUGAAGGAGUAUUUCGGUAUGUAAAGCCCUAUCGGCAGGGAAGAAGCAAGACGGUACCUGACUAAGAAGCCCCGGCUAACUACGUGCCAGCAGCCGCGGUAAUACGUAGGGGGCGAGCGUUAUCCGGAUUCACUGGGUGUAAAGGGAGCGUAGACGGCCAAGCAAGCCAGGGGUGAAA